AAUUCUAAUGUCCACAAUGGGGUAGAGGUGAAUCGAGUAGUAACCUGGCUUGUGGAAGGACAGUUCAGAA